AGAGUUUGAUCAUGGCUCAGAUUGAACGCUGGCGGUAUGCUUAACACAUGCAAGUCGAACGGAAACGAUGUUAGCUUGCUAACAGGCGUCGAGUGGCGGACGGGUGAGUAACGCGUAGGAAUCUACCAAGUAGUGGGGGAUAGCCCGGGGAAAUCCGGAUUAAUACCGCAUAAUCUCUACGGAGUAAAGAGGGCCUCUAUUUAUAAGCUUUCGCUAUUUGAUGAGCCUGCGUAAGAUUAGCUUGUUGGUGAGGUAAAAGCUCACCAAGGCAACGAUCUUUAGCUGGUCUGAGAGGAUGAUCAGCCACACUGGGACUGAGACACGGCCCAGACUCCUACGGGAGGCAGCAGUGGGGAAUAUUGGACAAUGGGCGCAAGCCUGAUCCAGCAAUACCGCGUGUGUGAAGAAGGCCUGAGGGUUGUAAAGCACUUUCAAUUGUGAAGAAAAGCUAAAGAUUAAUACUCUUUAGCCUUGACGUUAACUUUAGAAGAAGCACC
rnacentral:rRNA from 1 species